rnacentral:miRNA from 1 species
UCCCCUUUUAUCCCUCAG